rnacentral:rRNA from 1 species
AAUAGAUACCCAGGUAGUCCACGCCGUAAACGAUGAGUGCUAGGUGUUAGGGGGGUCCAACCCCUUAGUGCUGAAGUUAACACAUUAAGCACUCCGCCUGGGGAGUACGACCGCAAGGUUGAAACUCAAAGGAAUUGACGGGGGCCCGCACAAGCAGUGGAGCAUGUGGUUUAAUUCGAAGCAACGCGAAGAACCUUACCAGGUCUUGACAUCCUCUGACAACCCUAGAGAUAGGGCGUUCCCCUUCGGGGGACAGAGUGACAGGUGGUGCAUGGUUGUCGCCAGCUCGUGUCGUGAGAUGUUGGGUUAAGUCCCGCAACGAGCGCAACCCUUGAUGUUAGUUGCCAGCAUUCAGUUGGGCACUCUAACGUGACUGCCGGUGACAAACCGGAGGAAGGUGGGGAUGACGUCAAAUCAUCAUGCCCCUUAUGACCUGGGCUACACACGUGCUACAAUGGGCGGUACAAAGGGCAGCGAAACCGCGAGGUGGAGCCAAUCCCAUAAAGCCGCUCUCAGUUCGGAUUGCAGGCUGCAACUCG